GUGGGUGGAGCAGGAGGUGCUUGUGUUGGUGUGGGUGCGGGCAGAGGUUUGGGCGUUCGUGCUGGCUCGUGUGUGGCUGCGAGUAGCGGUGAGCAAACGCUCACCUCCCAGUCGUGCCGGCUGCUUUACAGUGCUGAGGUGGAUGAAGCCCAUGCUGUGUUUUGACCCUGCGGGUAAUCCAAUGUCCCCGUCGCUCUCGGCCCCCGCUGCCUGUUGAAGCCCUUUGGGUGGGAAGUGGGGACUGGUGUAAUUUAAGAAGAAACGACUUGGCUGACCCUGUCCCCAGCCAGUGCAACGUGGCCCGUGGCUGUGCUCGGUAAGGGCAGCCGGACUGGACCAUUCCCUCCAGGAACACCAGGCACAUGAUAGAGGUGCAUCAGGCACUAGAGGUGUAGUCGUAGCACGUGCUGGAGUGUAACACUGCAUCAGAGUGGGAUAGAAACAUAGACUCGUUUAGGUGGGAAAAGGCCUCUAAGAUCAUCAAGUCCAACCAUUAACCCAGCACUGCCAAGUCCACCGCUAAACCUGAAGAUGUCUAGAAAAAGCUGAAAGGUUUUACAGUUGACAUGCAAAUUUUAGCUGUGCUUUUCAUUUGUGCUUCUUGUGUCUUGCUGAGCUAGGUUUGUUCAUACUUAAACAGAGUUUUGGAUUAACUGGAUUAACAGGAACCACCUAUGUGUCACUGUUUGGAAUACAGUGGAUUUCUUUUUUGGGGGCUGCAGAAAAAAAUGGCAUAUUAGCCCUUCCAGCCACAUGCAGGAGAGAGUUGUGGAUUUCAGAGCAGAAAGCCUUUCUGUCAAUGAGCUCCUGAAGUAGGGAGGGUGCUCUUUGCUAUCUGGCAUCAAACAUGUUUUGAAAGUGUUGUUUGCUCAUUGUCAUUGGUGCCAGCCCAGAUCUCUGUUUGCCAGUGCUGGUGGUUUGGCAUCACUGAUCUAGAGUGAGAUCAAACAAGGGGGAAUAUGGAGCCAGAGCCUCGGUUUAUUUACCCUAGUGUGAGUGAAUGGAGAGAUGCCAAUGUUAAAUGUAGGUGCUGCCAACGGCAAAUGACCUUCAUCCCAGCAUUUUUCCGUGGUGAGCUUUGCCUGGAAUUGGGGAAAAAGAAAAACUGA
rnacentral:lncRNA from 1 species